ACAAGUUGACAAGAGCAUCGGGUGGAUGCCUUGGCGUCGGAAGGCGAAGAAAGACGUGGUAGGCUGCGAUAAGCCGCGGGGAGGAGCCAAGCAUCCCAUGAUCCGUGGAUUUCUGAAUGGGGGAACCCGGCGGGAGCAAUGUCCCGUCAUCGGCACGUGAAUACAUAGCGUGUUCGAGGCCAACUCGGGGAAGUGAAACAUCUCAGUACCCGAAGGAAAGGAAAUCAAACGAGACUUCCCUGGUAGCGGCGAGCGACCGGGAAAGAGCCCAAACCCGGAGGAGAUUCCUCCGGGGGUUGCAGGAUACGCAAAUAGGCACAGGUCAAAUGAGGGGAAAGAAGCUGGAAAGCUUUGCCAGAGCGGGUGAUAGCCCCGUACCCGAAAAUGCGUCCUGGUCAGCGUACACCUGAGUACCGCGGGGCACGAGAAACCCCGUGGGAAUCCGGGAGGACCAUCUUCCAAGGCUAAGUACUAACCGACGACCGAUAGUGAACCAGUACCGUGAGGGAAAGGUGAAAAGAACCCCUGUGAGGGGAGUGAAAAGAAUCUGAAACCUGGUGCUUACAAGCUGCGAGAGCUGCCAUGGAGACAUGGUAGUGAUCGUGUGCCUUUUGCAUAAUGAGUCAGCGAGUUGAUCUGUACUGCGAGGUUAAGCGUAAGUGAAGCCGUAGCGAAAGCGAGUCUGAAUAGGGCGAGAGUAGUGCGGAUCAGACCCGAAACCGGGUGAUCUAUCCAUGAGCAGGUUGAAGCAAGGGUAAAGCCUUGUGGAGGACCGAACCGCCAACGGCUGAAAACGUUCCGGAUGACUUGUGGAUAGGGGUGAAAGGCCAAUCAAACCCGGUGAUAGCUGGUUCUCCCCGAAAUAUAUUGAGGUAUAGCCUUGCGGAUUAUCUGACGGAGGUAAAGCGCUGACAGAGCUAGGGGUCCUACCAGAUUACCAAACUCUAUCAAACUCAGAAUGCCGUUCAGACAUACCGCAGGAGUCAGGCAGCGGGUGCUAAGGUCCGUUGCCGAGAGGGUAAGAGCCCAGAUCAACAGCUAAGGCCUCCAAAUGCAUGCUCAGUGGUUAAGGUGGUGACGUUGUAGAGACACCCAGGACGUUGGCUUAGAAGCAGCCAUCGUUUAAAGAAAGCGUAAUAGCUCACUGGUUCAAUGACGUUGCGCCGAAAAUGUAACGGGGCUAAGCAUGCUGCCGAAGCUUUGAAUUUGCCGUAAAGGCAGGUGGUAGGGGAGCGUUCUUCACUGGCGGAAGCAGUGUCGGAAGGCAUUGUGGACAGUGGAGAAGUGAUUAUGCUGACAUGAGUAACGAUAAAACGGGUGAAAAACCCGUUCGCCGUAAACCCGAGGUUUCCUGGGUAAAGGUAAUCUUCCCAGGGUUAGUCGGCCCCUAAGGCGAGGCAGAGAUGCGUAGCUGAUGGGAAACGCGUUAAUAUUCGCGUACCUGGUUGUUCGCGCGAUGGAGGGACGCAGGAGGAUAGGUGAUCCGGGAGUUGGAAUACCCGGUGCAAGCCGGUAGGCAGGAGACGCAGGCAAAUCCGCGUAACCAAUGCCGAGAGGCGAGACGAAGGAGCAAUCCGCAAAGUCACUGAUUCCAGGCUGCCAAGAAAAGCUUCUAAGUAUAGGACAAUCAGACCGUACCGCAAACCAACUCAGGUGGGUGGGAUGAAUAAUCCAAGGCGCUCGAGAGAACUCUGGCCAAGGAACUCGGCAAAAUAACCCCGUACCUUCGGAAGAAGGGGCGCUCUUCCGGGUGAGGAAGUCACCUUUGGAGCCUGGGAGAGCCGCAGAGAAAUGGUGGUGGCGACUGUUUACUAAAAACAUAGGUCUGUGCGAAGUCGCAAGACGACGUAUACGGACUGACGCCUGCCCGGUGCCGGAAGGUUAAAAGGAGAAGUCAGCGCAAGCGAAGCUUUGAAUUGAAGCCCCGGUAAACGGCGGCCGUAACUAUAACGGUCCUAAGGUAGCGAAAUUCCUUGUCGGGUAAGUUCCGACCUGCACGAAUGGCGUAACGAUCUCCACACUGUCUCGGCCAGAGACUCGGUGAAAUUGAAAUCGCGGUGAAAAUGCCGCGUUCCCGCAGAAAGACGGAAAGACCCUGUGCACCUUUACUAUAGCUUGACAUUGGGAUUUGAAACUGCAUGUGCAGGAUAGGUGGGAGACAAAGAAGCCCGUACGCCAGUGCGGGCGGAGUCACCGUUGAAAUACCACCCUUGUUUUUUCAGGUCCCUAACUCUGUGCCGUAAACCGGCAGGAGGACAUUGUCUGGCGGGUAGUUUGACUGGGGCGGUCGCCUCCCAAAAAGUAACGGAGGCACGCAAAGGUUCCCUCAGGCUGAUUGGAAACCAGCCGUCGAGUGCAAACGCAUAAGGGAGCUUGACUGCAAGAGAGACAUUUCGAGCAGAUACGAAAGUAGGUGUUAGUGAUCCGGUGGUCCCGCAUGGAAGGGCCAUCGCUCAUUGGAUAAAAGGUACGCCGGGGAUAACAGGCUGAUCGCAUCCAAGAGUUCACAUCGACGAUGCGGUUUGGCACCUCGAUGUCGGCUCAUCACAUCCUGGGGCUGAAGCAGGUCCCAAGGGUACGGCUGUUCGCCGUUUAAAGUGGUACGCGAGCUGGGUUUAAAAACGUCGUGAGACAGUUUGGUCCCUAUCUUCUGUGGGCGUAGGAGAAUUGAGAGGGCCUGUCCCUAGUACGAGAGGACCGGGAUGGACGCGCCCCUGGUGAACCUGUUGUCGCGCCAGCGGCAUAGCAGGGUAGCCAAGCGCGGAAUGGAUAACCGCUGAAAGCAUCUAAGCGGGAAGCCAGCCUCAAGAUAAGUUCUCCCUGACGCAAGUCCUGAAGGGCCGAGGUAGACUACCUCGUUGAUAGGCUGGAGGUGGAAGCCCCGUGAGGGGUGGAGCUGACCAGUACUAAUAGCCCAAGCGACUUGUUAU
rnacentral:rRNA from 1 species